AUGUGGAAUAUCCCUGGGAGCGCCAGGACCACCUGGGAGGACCUGGGGAGAAGCAGAAUUCAGAGAGAGCUGUGGCAUGGGGUUGGGCACCCCAACACCUAGGACACCUCUGUGACAGAGUUGAUACCCAUUGAUGAUGCCGCCAAUCACACUUUGCGUCCCACCGAUGACAAGAAUGAGAACCAGAAUAACUCCAAGGACGUUCCAAGGACAAUGGUUCAAGGGACCACUGCUCUCUCUAAUCCCUUGAAAACUGACUAUCUUGGAUUUUACCUCUGAACCCGCCCACUAGCCACACGGGAAUGAGCCCGUUUUCAAGGUCCUCCAUGGAGCGACCGGCCAUCUCACCAUCCCAGGAGCCAAGAGGCAGCCCCAGCUGUGCGGGGUGAGGUAGGAGAUGCUCACGGAAGUAAGAAUGGGGCCUGCGUUCUCUCAGACGACUGUGAAGACGAGGGAGAACUGAGGAUCGCUCCAUCUGUUACACUGAGAACGGACUGCAGGGAGCCAGGGUGGAAGCAGGAGGCUGUCUGGAGGCUUCUGUAGUAACCCGGUGGAGAGAGCAUGCCACCGGGAGUCGGAACUAAAAAAGCAGUGCCUUUCAAAUCAAAACCACGAUGAGUUAUCGCCUCAUACCUGUUAGAACGGCGACUGUUAACAACCAAAACCACACCCAGAAAACAACAAGUGUUGGCAAGGACGCAGAGAAAUUGGCGCCCCGGUGUCCCGCUGGUAGGAAUGCGACAGCGUGGCAGUUUCUCAAAAUAUUAAAAAUAGAAUUACCGGA